UCUCCUCUCCUCUCUCGGCGGCGGAACUCUUCUUCUUCUCCCUUUACUUUCCAAUCCAAUAGAUUAAAAUUAAGAUUCAAGAAGCCACUGAUGAUAACAAAGAAGAAAAUCUUUGAUCAUUUUCAUAAUCGACGGCAAAUCAUAGCAGAUGAGAAAAAAAAGAAAAACGGAAGGUAAAUCGUUCGAUUCCCGUCAUUCUAGGGUUACAGCUUAGUGAUAAAGAGUUUGCGGAAGAACACCGCAACCACAACAAUUACCCAUUUGGAGGAGCACCAAAACAGUUCUCCUAACACAAAAUCGUAGCUCAUUUUUCUCAAACACUCUCGCAGAUCUUCAAUUUACUGGUAAAUAAGAAUCUUGGGAUUUCAAAAACUUCUUCAACUAUUAUACUCCAAAUGGAGAACAUUGUUGCAAUGCAGCAGAACAAGAACCCUGUGGAUGAUAAUCUGUGGGUUGGGGCCUGCUCAAGAGAAUCAUAUUCUCUCCUUACUUCAACGGGUCUUUGAUUUACAAGCUUUAUUUGGAGCCAACUGAUGCAGUUCCCAGCUUGGUAGACCAUGUAUCUUACAGACACCUUCAUUAUGCCAUUUUGACUAAGAUGGAUAUUCUGGUCUGGAUUAUUGGAGGCCCUAGUUACUUAGAUCCUCCUCCUGUUGAGAAGGAAGUAGUGGAUACUCUUAUCAUAUGAGCCACUUUGGUGGGAAGUACUGAUAAUAAUUAAGUCUAUGGAUUACUCACUUUGACUACAGUUCUGUCGGGACAAUUAUUUUAUGGUUUCUUUUAUAAGAUCUGUUCACUGAAUGUACAAGGAUUUUUUUGUUUUUUGCUACAAUGAGGAUUAGUUGGUCAACCCAUGUUGUGUGAACAUAAGCACUGCGACUUAUCUUCUACAUUUUACCAUGAAAAUUUGAAAGUGGUGAACUAACACCGGCUAAGGUAAUAGUUUAAUGGUCUUUUGUUCAUCUUCGUGUGGGAAGGUACAUUUUAGCGGGUUUAUCUUAUGUUUUAGGAGCUUGGUGGCAUUGUAACAGAAGGAUUUCUAUUAUUCUAUCUUGUCGGUGUGAAGUUAGGUUUAUGUUGGAGUUUAGAUUUCUUGUUAUACAGGUCCCUAUCCUUCAGAAUCAAUGGGAGGAAUUCCUAAAAAGCUUGCUCUUACAAUUGGUAUUGCUGUGGGCCACAGGCGUAGAAACAAGUCAUUGGAAGGGCUCCAGAUCAUUGUCCAGCGUCUUAAGACAUACAAGGCCAAGCUUGUUGUCUUCCCAAGGCAUGCAUGCAAAUUCAAGAACUAUUCCCGGGAAGCUGCGUGAAUUUUGAUGAGCCAGAGAGAUAAAUGGUGGAUCCUGUUCAGAAUGCAAAAUACAUGGAAAUACAACUUUGUCAACGAAUCAUCACGGGUGAUUCAGUGAAGAUGAGUUACACUGCUGGAGUUACAAUGGUGUCUCGAACAUUGUGGGUGGUGAAAAUGCCAAGUGUAUUGAUCUCUCUACAGCGAAAGAACCAGAGAUUUGGAAUGCCAUCAAGUUUGCAACUGUGUAGGAAAAUGUGGUUUACAGAGAUAAAUCUGUUACAGAGAACACUCCGAAGCUGGAGAUCCACACUCCAUGUGAAGGUGUACCUUCAGAAACCUCCUUGGAUCCAAUCAUUUCCAUAGUAAGAGCUUAGCUAAGUAAAGAUGCAUGAUCUCAGCCGCUAGUAGUGAAGAUCCAGACUCUCAGCCACUUAGGCCGGUGUGCGCUUUAUGUAUUAUAUUUGGAUGUUUUGAAAUGAAAUCUAGAUUUAUCAAAAUGUUAAUGAAUCAACGA